rnacentral:sRNA from 1 species
CCACCCCUCCCACUCCACACACACCCUGUUUGCCCGUGAGCCUGGGGAACUUGCAGCUUAAAGCCAGCCACCCCCACGGCAACAUGUACCCCAGCAACAAGAAGAAAAAGGUGUGGAGAGAGGAGAAAGAACGUUUACUGAAGAUGACCUUAGAAGAGAGACGCAAAGAAUACCUAAGAGACUAUAUUCCCCUGAACAGCAUUCUAUCAUGGAAGGAGGAGAUGAAGGGCAAGGGCCAAAAUGAUGGAUGCAUCUCUCAUGGUUGAAGAAGUGGUGGAGGAUGGCAUGGGAGAGAGUGCCUGAGGAUCCUUGCCUGGAACAAGUUAUGGAAAGAAAGUCUUACAGUCCAUUUUGAAUCAAGAAAGACUCAUUGAAGACUCCUUUGAGAAGAGUCUGUUUUGAAGAAGGAAAAAGAAAUACUGUUUGAGAGAAGGCAAACAGACAAAAAGGGUGAUAGAAAUAUGUAUUUUUGUUGUAUAUGUAACUCUGAGAGACCUUCCUAGAGUGAAGGUAGAGAACUGAAAAGGGAGUAAAUUAAGGAAUGCCUGAAUUUUGUGGGUCUUGAUGGAAAAACGCUGGUCUUCUUUUAACGUGGAAAAACAGCUGGUGCUUCAGUCCUAGGAAUUAUGUCUCUGCUGUGGGCAGUUGUCAUAAACUCUUCUCACAAUCCGAGCUGCUCUUUGUCCUCUGUGAAUGAAGGUACUUUUGCUUCUUUUUCAUCCAAGGAUGAAUGAAAAUGUAUAGCAUCUGCCCAAACCUGAAAAGUACAGUGUGUUUAUCACGAGAGCUUUGUAAGGUACUUCACUUGCACUUUAAAAUUCUUUAGUGCUCAAAACCAACCAUUGUGGGUUUUUGUCAAUAAAUACUAAUUUUUCAA